AGGUUGGUUCUUUACCGGUCAUCCCCGGUCUGGAUAGAGGCGAGCUUGGGCAUGGCCACCAGUAGGUGAACGGAGGUCAGCAGAGCCCGGGAACGACCGACCCCCCUCUCCCAUGACCCCCUUCAAGUGUGGCGUCCGUUCCCACCCUCGAGCAGCCUCUGUUCCGGUCGUCCCCGCCCCCGCUCCGUCCCAGGCUGGCCUCCGGCGCGGGGUGAGCCCGGCUGGGGUGUCACUCGACGCCCACUAGGGGCCGAAGGCGGCUCCAGUGCGCAGGCUCCGGGCUCUGGAUAAAAGCGGAGCUGGCGCGCUCCGCGCCAUCUCGAUAGAGAAGCGAGAAACGGAAGAGGCCGGGGGGGAGAAGCAGGACAAAAAUAAUAAUAAUAAUACGCCGCCACCGUCAGUCACCGCCGCCUCCCUGCCACCGUGUAUCGGGGUAAAAGCUGCCGUCGCUGGUUCCUAGAUUUGGCCCCGCGGCGGGACAAUGCGGGGAGGGGAGCGGGAAUUCUUUUAUGUGAUUCCACGAGGGAGGGGGUAGAGAGCCGGUUAGCGCUGAGGGGAAAGGGAGAGGCGAAAGAAUAAAACAAGGAUCCCCCUCCCCGCCCCGAGGAAUGACACGGCAGUUACGGUUCUUGUGUUUUUGGUUGGGGGGGGGGGGGAAGGGUGUCCGUUGUCGCCCGAAAUGGCGGUUUCCGUCUUCUUGCUCCACCGCGACCCGGGGGCGCUGGGUAAGCCGAGUGGGGAGAGGCAGAGGCGGCGUCGGCAGCCAAUCGGCGGCCGCUGUGUUCCGUCGGGCACGCUGUGAUUGGCUGGCGAUGACCUCAUGCUGCAGCAGCGGGUGGGGCCCUGUCGUCGGGGGAGGCUGUUGCAAAGCAGAGAGGGAGAAGUGACGAAGGUGGUGGUUGCCGCCGUGGCCGAUCUGGAACCCAUGCAGUGGCGAAGGAGAUCGCAAAGGCUUCCUCCCUGACCACUUUCUCCUGUCCCUGCGCGAGAAGAUGCGAGCAGCCGAGAUCUGUGUCAUCUGAACUUGAGGGCCCUCUUCAAACUUGCUAUCCUUUUGGUGUUUCUGCGCUUUCUUCCAGUACAGACAGACCCUUGUGGGUACAUCCUGUAAGAAUGUGUAAUCUUAGCGGUGGGGUUUGCCUUUUUUAAUAUUUUAAUAUAGGCGUCGUUAAUAAUACGGAAUAAAAACUUGCUAGUAUUUCAACCUGUACGAAAUUGUAAGGUUUUCAACACUUGUGGUCUAUAUUACCUUUCUGACGCCCUUAUGGAUGGAUGUUUUGAAAUAAAAGAUGGAAUCGUAA